AUCUUCUUCCUGCCCUCGCCGUGGCGGGCGACGGUUUCUCGCGCCGUGGCUGGCUCGGCCGGCCGGGGCACCGCGCCGGGCUCCAUGCAGCCGGGCUGCGCGGUCCCGCAGAGCGGGCGCCUCCGGGGCUCGAGUCGGGGACCCGGCAGGAGCGGGCCGGGGAUGGCGGCGGCGGGCGGCGGGUCGGCCGUGGAGCCCCGGAGAGGCGGCCGCCACCACCGCUGCCCGCAGUCUGCGAGGUGUCCGGCGGUCCGCUCAGGGCCUCUUUUGCAGACUCGGUGCCCGGAGUGCGCCGGCGCCGCCCGCCAGGUCUUGGCACUGCUGGCGCGGCCGCGGCGGCGGGGGCCCGGCUCCAGAUCACCGACCCCCACGAGCGCCGGCCCUGCCUGCCCGCUAUUUUGGUUCCAUCUCUUCUGCAUAUUUAUGCUUGCCUGUUACAUUCCCUGGCCUCUGAGUGUCCUUUGGCAGUUUCCAAAGCAUUUGGGCAAGAAGGAGCUUGGGCAGCUUCACAACAGGUGGGGACGCGCAGGGGAGGGGCCGCGGCCGGACCGGCAGAGUUUCAAGGGCUGGCGCGCCGGCGGACUUUCCACACUGUCUUUCGGGACUGGGGUUAGGAGACAGCCCUUGGCCACCACUGUGUCCUUACUUUGUCGCUUUACUUGGGGCUGGACCUCCCCUUUCCAGCUCUGGCGUGUGACCCCGCAACGAGCGUGGUGUCGAGACCACCACCAGCUGGGGCGGUGGGAGCGAAGGUGCCCCAGGCUCGGGGAAGGUGGAAACCUUUUCCCCGCUCCCCAAGUGAUUGUUGCGCGCUCCGGUGAGGGGACAGUGGUACCUCGAUUUCCCGUGUGCCAGCUUCGGGACUCAGCUGUGCUUUUGUGUCUCUUUGAUUAGCAAAAGCAAAACGAAUUCCUCCCCGAACACUAAGCUUCCUGGAAACUUCCCUAGACCUAAACUUGAGAACCGCAUAUAAAUGGGCCUUGAGGGUUCUGUCGUCAGUAGCGGGUUACGUGAUUGCAAACGAGCAAGUUUAAAACGGAGUGGGCUUUGGGCUGCAGAGCCGCCUGGCAUUCUGACAGCUGAGCAGGAGGCAGAGGUGAGAGUCCAAGAUGGACUAAAAAUGUCCCAGCAGCUGGGAGCCCAACCUCGGCCCAACCUCGUUGAAAGGAGGAACAUUCGGUGCAGCCGUCGGAACCUUAUUAUUUAUGAAAGGGGACAGCUCACAGGAUUACAUUUUUCUAAGCCAAUCCUGUGACCAUCCUCCAUGAAAUUCUCUAUUUUGGUUGCAUGUGGUCAAAACUGAGCCUCACUGAAACAAUUGAAAACAAAUACUCCCGACAAAUCUUAAGAAUCGUUUUGAAAAUCAAAAGGUGGGGAAAAUGUUGUGGCUUCUGAGCUUUCUUCAGCCCAUAUUCUAUUAUUCUCUGAUGUUUUAUGGUGUAAAAUCAUACCCAUUCCAUUAUGUAUUGAUUGUCAAGAAGGAAGUAGGCUUUUAUUGCUAUUUUUAUGUCAGUUUCCAUUUACUGUCUCACCACAUUUAUUGGGUUAUUGCCUUUGCCUUUGACUCAACAGGAGCUGGAAGGGUAGGAAUCCCAAAUUCUGUUGCCUAAGGCAGCCAGUUGUCAGAAUGGACUUUCCUCAUUUUCUAUUAUGAGGCCUGAGGAAAGACAUUCAGUUCCAAAGGCUGUGCCUAUCCUUUUAAAUAGAAGAGAGAGGGCCCGGCACGGUGGCUCACGCCUGUAAUCCCAGCAGUUUGGGAGGCCGAAGGGGGCGAAUCACGAGGUCAGGAGUUCCAGACCAGCCUGGCCAACAUAGUGAAACCCCGUGUCUACUAAAGAUACAAAUAUUAGCCGGGCGUAAUGGCGGGCGCCUGUAUUCCCAGCUACUCGGGAGGCUGAGGCAGGAGAAUGGCUUGAAUCCGGGAGGCGGAGGUUGCAGUGAACCGAACCGAGAUCGCGUCGCUGGACUCCAGCCCGGGCGACAGAGUGAGACUCCGUCCCAAAAAAAAAAAAAAAAAAAAAAAAAAAAAAAAAAAAAAAAAAAAGAAAAGAAGAAGAGGAAGCAGCCGUGCCAAAAAAAAAAAAAAAAAGAAGAGGAAGCAGCCGUGCCGAGGCUAGGUACUGCCUAAAGAAGCGGGGGAACAAAUUGGAAAUGUGGGAAUGCGAAUGUGGGCAAGUUGAGGAACUUGUAGCUUCUCGUCGGUUGAAUCUUUUCACUGAAGCUGCUUUAUUAUAUCUGACAUGUGAAACUACACAAUUUCAAACAAACCCAUAUUGAAGUCAACAUACAAAAAAGCAUUUAAAAAACAACCAUUAGUAAAAAUAAUUUUUUCAGUUAACGCUAUUCUUCCCUUGUAUAGGUGUUGAUAAUCAUAUAAUCAAAUAGCUUAUUGCAUAUGGAGAGUUGUUUUCUUUGAGUUAAUUCAACGUAUUGCAACUUAGUUAGAAUCCAGGAAAAUAGUAUUUUCAAAUGUGUAUUUGGAAUCUUCAAAAUACUAGGUUACAAAUUACCUUAAGAGAUAUUUAUGCAGCAUAGAAGAACCAGCAGUUCUCAGAGGAAGAUAAAUAGUUAAAAUAUCAUAAUGCACUUUAUAUCAGUUGUAAAAAGAAAAAUACAGGCUUAGAUUUAUGGUAUUACCGUUAGAAAAACAAUAUGAGUAUUUAAGAAACAUAGCAACCCUAGCCAUUAAAUAGGCAUCAAAUAACAUUCUGAAUUAAGUUAUAAGAUAAAACCAAGAUUUGGAUGACAAUGACAAUAUUGUCCAUCAUUGUUAUCCAAAUCCUGGUUUUAUCUUAUAACUGGUUUUAGGGGCAAUUGUAGUGAAUUGCCCCUAAAAGAUGUUUGAAAUUCGUUUCAUACACUUUUCCUGAAUCAACUUAAGUAUUGAUUUCACAAACAAUAAGAUGGUGUGCCGUAGCAUGUCAUCGCACUAGAAAGAAAAAAAGUACUCCACCAGUGGGAAAUAAUUUCAGCAGAGGAAAGUGAUGAAUAUUGGAUGUGUGUUUAGAAAUCAGAGGUUGAUAAAGUCUUAAGAUUGCUAUAUGCACUAUGAGGCUAAUGUAUUUUGAAAAUUGCAAAACAAUAUUUUUUAAACAACAAAAAUUUGGUGAGUAGCAUACGCAGACUUCAAAAAUAAAUUGCGUAACUUCAUAUUUCAGUAAUUAAAGAUUUAACAAUAGUGAUUUUGUGGCUAAACAAAAUAUACUGAACCCAUUAUGUAUAAACCAUGGAUUCAGAGCUCCAGAAAAUUAUCUUAAUGAGGCAUAUAAACUCUUUUUGUUUAAUGUCCACACCAAAUCAUUAUGGUCUGCCAUUUCAUGAAAUAACAAGUUUUAAAAUAAGUGAUGUUUUUUAGUUUGUAUAUCUAUAUUCUUUUCUACCAGGUAUAGCACAGUGUAGUACAAGGGCCUACAGUUACAAGCCUUGGGAAAGAUACUGUUUUGGCCACAUAUUUCAGCUAUGUGACCCUGGAAAGAGGGUCUCAGAGGGCCACUGUGGCCCUCAGUGUCUUUUCAUUGGUAAAUUGGGGCAACAUCUUUUGUAUAAUGAAAGCUGAAAAAAAUAACGAUUUUCCUUUUAUUCUCCCUUCCUUUCAUUUAGGCUGUAGUUUUCACUUUUUAACUACAAAGCAAUUUAUCUCUUGAUAACACUUCUAGUGUAUUGUCCCUAAAGUACUUUUGAAAGUAGUUCUGUACACUUUUCCUGAGUAAUAAAAACAUCACAUAUUUGCUAACUUGAAAGAAUCCCGAGUCAGGAGAUGGCCUGGAUUCUCUCUGACCCUUCAACUAAAGUCUUUGACCAAAGGAGCACAGGUGACCCCUUUCUGCUUCAUUUUCUGACCUGUAGAGUAUUGGACUCAAUGACCGAUCCUCCCUUGUAGCUCCAAAAUUCUGGGCUAAACUCCAUGCACCUCCCUUCUGAGUUAAAAAUAGUAGACAGGCCUGCAUUAUCAACAUUUGUAGAAAAAUAUGAAAUGCUUAGAGUCACUUUGUAAUUGAGUCUAAGAUUUGAAUGCAUAGAGUUCAAAUGCAAUACUUGUGUUGAUAACACAACAAAGACAUGUAAGUUUUUAUGUACCUUUAUGUUCUAUGCAUUAGUCCUUCAUUCCUUGGCAUGAGGAGAAGUGAUGGUUUCUCAGUGACCUUCCAGAACUCUAAGGCUGUGUUUCUCACACCAGGCCUCAGGGUUUCUACAUUUUGAACAAAUUUCCAGUAUUGUACCCAUGCACACCUGAGUCUAAGAACUCUGCUGUAAGGUGACAUUAAACAGCACCUGAAGUUAUAUUUGAGAUGAUUACUCAGUAAUCAAUGUACAGUUGAUUUUCAUAGUGUGGAUUCAAGCACGGAAUAGAGCACAGUUUUAAUUAAAUCUGUAUUUCUCAGUUGAAACUUUAUUUUAGCAUUACAUGACUUCUAUUUCAUGAAUCAUAAAUGUCAUGUUUCUUCACAAACUGUAGUUCUGAAUUUAACUCAUUCACCAUUUUGUCGUCAAAAAGAAGAGUUGAUGUUGUUGAAAGAUCUAAACAGCUUUGCAGCUGAUGUUCUAAAGAAAUAAAAUAUACCACUGAACCCAGAUCAAGCCUUUGCACUAAAUUAAUGUGAGUUUGAAUUUCUGAGUUUCAGUAGUAAUAUUUUCUAUCUUUGGCAAUCAUUUUUGGACUGACGCUCAUUACGUUUUAUUCUCUUUGGGCUUUAUUCCAUGGAUUUGUAAAGGACACCAGUUCGCUUUAUUUCUGGAAGAUGUAACACAAAUUAAGUAAUGUGCCUUUGAUUCCAAUGUAACUGUUACACCUUAACUAAAACUGUCAUGAGCAACAUCAUUUUUAAAAGCAUUUCUUUGACGUGCAAAUAUAUGACAGAAACCAUUGUAAAUAGGACUUUUUGAAAACAAUACUUUGCUAAAAGGGGUGUUUUAUGAAGGAUAUUAUGUUCUGAAGACCUAAAGGUAGGUUCUGUUUAUGUAAUAAAAGUGUAUGAACCUAUAUAAUUUCAUGGCUUAUUGGCUUAUAGGGCCUUUUAUUCAUGAUCAGAUAUAAAAUUUAUUUUGUGCUGUACUUUAAAUUUCUGGAAAAUUUCAAAAUACUGAUGAAAGGGGCCCUGGUAAUGACUCAGCAGACUUUCCAUUCCAGAUUUAUCUCUAAGAAAAAAGAAGUGUUUCUCAUUAUCACGAUGAAAAUAAAUAGAGGUUGUUUCAAACCGUAUUAAUCAUUUAGUCGGUUAAUUAACAAGAAUCCUUUUGCAGAAUAAAUUCAGACCUUCUAGUAAAUGUGUUGAUAACUGUCAAAAAUCCUUUUUUAUAAUUCUAGCUAGCAAAGGCUUUCAUUUUGGAAUUCAGGAAGCAGGGGAGAUUUUAUUUAUCACCCAGUUCCUGUUGCUAGUCCUUUUGAAUUUUGCCUUUCAGAGUUUUUUUUUUUUUUUCUUUUUGUUAUUCCCCAGUGGCAAGUUAUUUAUUGCUUCGUUUGGCCACUCAUCAAAUAGUAGUUGGUAAUCAGAAGAUUUUACAUGAUAUUCAGGAUAAUUUUUUGCUUUUUUCUAGUGUUUCUAGUUGAACUAUGAUGGAUUAAGGUAACUGAGUAAUUUUUCUCUUGACAUCGAUGCCCUUUAAGCUCUUUUGGGCUGUGAUCCUGCUCUUGUAAUUAGCUUUCAUCCUGUUCAUUAAUCAGUGUUUCCAUUCUGACAGUUUUUCCUUUUCUUUCUCCUCUUGUUUCUGAGAUAUUAAAAAGCGAAAGCAGUCUCUUACAAGGAUCUAUUGUUUGUUAUCUUUUAGGCAAACCCAAGUAUUUAUCUCUCUCUUUUGCGUUCAUACCAAAAUUUAUUGGAAAUGCACGAUAAAUUUUCAGAUUCUCAAAAAUCUCAGGGUUUCUGCUUUCCAGGUUUUAGAAAUUAGUUUAUCUGAUUUCAAGGCCUUAGAUUUUCAAAUUGCUCUUUUAUAUGCAUCUAUUCUAUUCCGUUUUCUUUUCAGUUCUAAGCCUAUGUUUAUAUGUAAAAUGCUUCUCUUGUUUCUGACAUUUUCCAAUUUAGUAUCAAUUUCUAAUAAUGAACCACUGUUACCUGCUUGUCUUCCAUGUGGAUGCUUAAUAAAUACUAUAACUUAGGUAUACAGUUUCAUGGAGGAGAAUAGAAGAAUGUGGUUAAUUUUUUGAAAUAGCAAUAAAAAGAAAACAUGUUGUGGCUUUAGCAAGCAUUAUUUUCUUGUGACAAUUUUAUCCUCCUAAUUAUACAUUGCCUAAGCUGGUACUAACGUUAAUUCAUGUUCUCCUAAGCAUAUGCCCACUCUUGACAGAUAUACACUGGGGUUACAAAUUUGGCGUGUAUAAUUUACACAUAAAUAUUCAAUUGCUAAGAAAACUGAGACUAAAUCACAUGCUGGUCAUUAUCAUCUUUUAAAUUACACUCUGACCUUUCAUCCAUCUACUUAGCAGUGUAAUAACACAAUUGUCUUAAUAUAAAUAAUUCAUUUCUAGUGCUGCAACCCAUUUUUAAAUACUCAAUUUUAAUAUUUAUUAUAGUUCUGAUAUUUAUUAUCUGACAUGUUUGGCUAGAUAUUCUUUUUCUGAACAGUACUUAGUUUCAUGUAAUUUGAUUUUAUUUUUACUAGCUGGAUAAACACACAGUUUUACACAGUAAAAAUAAAAUCAAAUUACAUGAAAUUAAAUUAAUGUAAUUAAUUAAUGUAAUUAAUGUAAUGUAAUUAAUGCAUCCAACAAAAAUCAGUCUUGUAUUAAGUAAUUAAAGGUCCAAAAAUCAGUUGGUUCCAUUGACUUUGGGCAAUGCAAUGUCCACUCCAAAUCUGUCGUUUGUUUCGCUCUGAUAUUUUAAUAGUGUUGCACAGA
rnacentral:lncRNA from 1 species